rnacentral:rRNA from 1 species
GACGAACGCUGGCGGCGUGCUUAACACAUGCAAGUCGAACGGAAAGGCCUCUUUCGGGGGGUACUCGAGUGGCGAACGGGUGAGUAACACGUGAGUAACCUGCCCUUGACUUUGGGAUAACUUCAGGAAACUGGGGCUAAUACCGGAUAGGAGCUCCUGCUGCAUGGUGGGGGUUGGAAAGUUUCGGCGGUUGGGGAUGGACUCGCGGCUUAUCAGCUUGUUGGUGGGGUAGUGGCUUACCAAGGCUUUGACGGGUAGCCGGCCGGAGAGGGUGACCGGCCACAUUGGGACUGAGAUACGGCCCAGACGCCUACGGGAGGAAGCAGGGGGGAAUAUUGCACAAGGGGUGGAAGCCUGAUGCAGCAACGCCGUGGGCGGGAGGACGGCCUUCGGGUUGUAAACCGCUUUCGCUCAUGACGAAGCUUUGUGUGACGGUAGUGGGUAAAGAAGCACCGGCUAACUACGUG